GAUGAACGCUGGCGGCGUGCCUAAUACAUGCAAGUCGAGCGAACGGACGAGAAGCUUGCUUCUCUGAUGUUAGCGGCGGACGGGUGAGUAACACGUGGAUAACCUACCUAUAAGACUGGGAUAACUUCGGGAAACCGUAGCUAAUACCGGAUAAUAUUUUGAACCGCAUGGUUCAAAAGUGAAAGACGGUCUUGCUGUCACUUAUAGAUGGAUCCGCGCUGCAUUAGCUAGUUGGUAAGGUAACGGCUUACCAAGGCAACGAUGCAUAGCCGACCUGAGAGGGUGAUCGGCCACACUGGAACUGAGACACGGUCCAGACUCCUACGGGAGGCAGCAGUAGGGAAUCUUCCGCAAUGGGCGAAAGCCUGACGGAGCAACGCCGCGUGAGUGAUGAAGGUCUUCGGAUCGUAAAACUCUGUUAUUAGUGAAGAACAUAUGUAUAAGUAACUGUGCACAUCUUGACGGUACCUAAUCAGAAAGCCACGGCUAACUACGUG
rnacentral:rRNA from 1 species